CAGUAGUGUACACGAAAAAGCAGUAGCAAUAGAAGGCGGUACAGUUUUUUGGUUGUCUUCAUCAAUGUCCCUUUCCAUUCAUAGCAGCAAAGGGCAUCAAAAGUAUUUGUGGAUCCGUCCUUUUGGCCUUGAGAUGGAGCCAUGUUUCUCUACAAGGAUAUUCAAAUCAAUCCUAGCCAUCUGUCUCCCUUUCCUCUUCCGGAAUAGGUUGAAAUUUCAAAAAAAAGUGUUUCCCUUUAAUGGUGAAAGAUUCUUCGAAUUCAAAUUUGAAAAUGGAUGGUUCAUGCCCUAAUUUUUGUUUGAUUUGCCCCCUAAAUGAACCCUAUUCUUUAUCUAUUUAAGGGGGUUUUGUCUUUAUUUUUUGAGUUUGGAGUUAGCCUAGAGAGAGAGUUGGAAAAUAUAAGGGAAAAACAGGAAAAAAGUUGGAAAAAUAAAUAUAGGAAAAAGAUAGAAGAAGCACUCUUAUAUAGGAAACAAGCACACCGUGAGUCGAAAAGAAUCAUACCUAGUAUACAUUCUUUUCUAUUCGUGGGAUAGCCAAGGUUUACUCACCAAAGUGAACUUUACAGAAGAUUUGAGGAACACUCGAUUUUAUAUUUGCUUCGAAUUUGUGUGGUGGAAUAGCUCAUCCCUUCUUGUUGUUGUUCCUGUUCCUAUUCACUGGCCCAAAAAAGGUUCAAGUCCUCAACAUUCAGAUCACUCAUAGAUCGAUUCCUGAUCGCUAGUGAAGCUAUUUCAGUGGUGAGUCCUCAUAUUUUGAGGCUAAUAAACAUGCUUUCUUUUACUUUAAGUCUUUUACUUUAUGCUUUGCUAGAGUUAGCUGGGGGAAUGUCGCAACUUUAGUUAAUUAGAGGCUUUCAUUCAUACAUACUAAGAUUUAGUUUUAAAACCGAUUUUAAUCUUUCAGUUGUUAAUUGAACUCUUAGUUCAAUUUAUAUCUUUAGACUUAUAUUGAUUAUCCCCUUCAUUUCAGUUUACAUUAUGAUUUAAAGCUUCCACAGAUUAUUUCUCAUUUCGGUAAAUCUUUGCGUAUGCUUGUGAUAUAUCAGUUGAGGGUUAGCUCGGGGUCACUCAUGAUCCUAGGUCUAUUGUUAUGUCAAGUGGGUAGUCUCGAGGCAUGACAACUUUGGAGAUGAUAAGGUAGUUAUGUUUAAUUACAAACUCUCCAACGCGAUUUUGAAAUAUUGUUCAUUAAUGAAAUGAAUUCGUACAAGGAUAUUUGCUUCGUACAUCUUUAUCUUUAAUAUAAUGAGAUCCUAUGGUGAGAAAAUUGAUAAUCAGAGUGUUGUGUCGAAAGUUUUGAGAACUUUAACUACCAAACUUGAGCACGUUUUUACUGCAAUUGAGGAAUCUAAGGACCUAUCUAAUUAUUCUUUUAGUGAAAUAAUGAGUUCCUUACUAGUUCAUGAAGAUAGGAUAAAUAGGUCCAGUAAGAAAGUCCAGGAUAAGUCCUUCCAGUAUAAGGGGGAGUUUUCCUACAAGGUAAAAGCAAAACACUCUGUAUGACGAAAAUCUGGUAGAGGCAAUUUCUGUGGUCAGGGUUGUACUGGCAGCGACGGAGGAAGAAACUCAAUUGUUGAACUAUGUCAAUACAAGAACAAUAUUCAAUGCCGAUAUUGCAAGAAAUUUUUCCAUGAAGAAGUUUAUUGCAGGAUGAAGUAGUAAGAUGAGCAAAAGGAAGCGAAUUUUACUCAAAAGGUGGAAGAAGAAAAUAAGUUGUUUAUGGCUAGUUAACAAAUAACUUAAGUGUGAAUGUUCAGUGGUUCAUUGAUAGCAGAUACUCAAAUCAAUGUCAUGUUCGAAAUCUCUCUUUAGAGAUCCUGAUGAGUCCCAGAAAAGUGUGGUGUGACUUGAAGAUGACAAACAAGUGCACAUUGAAGGGAAACGUACAAAUGAGAUAAAGAUAUACAAGAUUAUUGCAAAGCUCCACAAAGCAACAUUUUGAUGUUGUGAAACGAAUUCUUUAUUAGGUGUCUGAAACAACAGACUUUGGUAUUUGUUAUUCUAAAGAACCAAAUUUCAGAUUGGUUGGCUUUACUGAGAUGAUUAUGCAGACUGCUAGGAUGACAAAAAAAGCACUUUCGGUUGUUGUUUCAAAUUUUGUUCCGGAUCUGUGACAUGGAGUUCAAUGAAGUAGGACACACUAGCUCUGUCGCCAUUUGAAGCAGAUUAUACAAUAACAAGUUUAGCAACACGACUAGCUUUAAGGCUCCUGAAACUACUUGAAGAUUUUAGUUACGAGCAUAAGGAGUCUACUGAGAUUUUCUUUGAUGGAAAAUCAACAAUUGAUAUUGUUAAGAAUCCCACUUUUAAUAGGAGAACUUGGCACAUUCAUGUGCAAUAUCAGUUUAUCCGAACUUUGGUAGCUGAUGGAAGAAUAGUGCUGAAAUUCUGCAGAACAAACGAGCAAGUAGCGAAUAUAUUUUCGAAGUCUCUUCCUCAGGCUAAGCAUGAAUAUAUCAGGUUGCUGUUGAGAGUGUGUGAUUUUGAAUCAAGGGGAAGUAUUAGUUGACUCAUUUCAAAAGUUAAAUGAUAUUAGUGGCAGUACUUUUAGGAGUCUUUAAUAUUCCCAGUUUACAAGCUCCAGAAGUCCUAAUUAGUUUAUGUUAGUUAGCUAGUAGGUCAUGCGUUAGUGCUAAACUAGUACCCUAUCAUUUCUCUAGGUUUGUUGCUUUCCAAUUACUAUUCAAAACUUGUAUCCCUGUUUUCUAAAGCAUAAGAAAAGAUAAGGUUUUCUCUUUGUUUCUUAACAUCUUCUUCGAGUUGUUGUUCAUCUCUUUCGCCAAUAAGAAAGAGACAGAUGAUCAUAAAAUAACACAGACAUUUCAUUUGCCCACA